rnacentral:sRNA from 1 species
AUGGCUGUCGUCAGCUCGUGCCGUGAGGUGUUGCCUUAAGUGGCGCAACGAGCGCAACCCCUGUCCUAUGUUGCCAGCGGGUCAUGCCGGGGACUCAUAGGAGACUGCCGGUGCCAAACCGGAGGAAGGUGGGGACGACGUCAAGUCAUCAUGGCCCUUAUGUCCAGGGCUGCACACAUGCUACAAUGCGCGGUACAAAGGGCUGCGAUCUCGCAAGGGUGAGCGAAUCCCAAAAAGCCGCGCUCAGUUCGGAUCGGGGUCUGCAACUCGACCCCGUGAAGUCGGAGUCGCUAGUAAUCGCGGAUCAGCAACGCCGCGGUGAAUACGUUCCCGGGCCUUGUACACACCGCCCGUUACACCACGAAAGUCGGUAACACCCGAAGCCGGUGGCCCAACCCUUGUGGAGGGAGCCGUCGAAGGUGGGAUUGGCGAUUGGGGUGAAGUCGUAACAAGGUAGCCGUACCGGAAGGUGCGGCUGGAUCACCUCCUUUCUAAGGAGCACUGGCAAUCCCGGACUCGCGAGACGACCGGCGCACGGUGUGCCGGAACGAAGCGAACCCGGAGCUCCAGUCAAUCCACUGGCUAUUCGGCCUGCAAAUCGUCAAGCUGCCCUACCAAGUACGCCUGGUUGCAAGACCGGGAGUGGAACGGGAAGGCGGCCAGCGGGACGCCGGCCGGGCACGCUGUUCGGUCCUGAGGGUGCGAGCCCUCGGACCACGGACCUCCACGCCCCUCGAGAAGCUAGGCGUGCGUCCGCGGACGAACCUUGAGAACUCAAUAGCGGGCGCGAGCAUCUAAACGGUCAAGUUGUAAAGGGCUUACGGUGGAUGCCUUGGCGCCAGGAGCCGAUGAAGGACGCGUGAGGCUGCGAAAAGCUUCGGGGAGCCGCCAACAAGGCUUUGAUCCGAAGGUGUCCGAAUGGGGAAACCCGG